rnacentral:lncRNA from 1 species
CUUUUACUGUAACGAACGAAUUAGUUUCCAAGUGUUAUAUUAAAACUAUAAAAGUGGCACUGUAUCGAGAGUUUUCACUUCAAAUGCAAAUAUGAUGUUUCUGUAUAAGUAUCUGCUCUUAACUUUGAUUUUGAGAGCCUGGUUUAUCUUCUCCUACAGUACAUUCACGUAUGAGAUUAAAAGUAUGUACACACCUACAUAAUCAAAUAUUAUAACACGUAAGCAUGUUCACUUUUAGGUUGCAGGGACAACACAGGAUUUUGUAAAGAGAAAUGUCCAAAGAAAAUGUUGUUUGUACGAAACAGAGGGGACUGCAUGGAUAAAUCCACUGGGAAGAUGCUCCUGUGUUGUGUCACACAUUAUUGACCUACUGUUUAUUUUUUCAAAGCACAACUACAAAUGUAUAAAACGAUUACACAUAUUUUUGUAAUUCAUUAUAUUUCUGGUAACAUUUUUUUUUAUUAUUUCAAUAGUUUUCCAAUUUCGCUGUAGCGAUUAAAUAAAAUACAUCUAUUUUUUUGUAAUUCAUUUGAAAAUGUUUUCAUGUAUC